GAAUGCUUAACACAUGCAAGUCAACUUGAAUUUGAGUUUUUAACUUAGAUUUGGGUGGCGGACGGGUGAGUAACGCGUAAAGAACUUGCCUCACAGCUAGGGACAACAUUUAGAAAUGAAUGCUAAUACCUGAUAUUAUGAUUUUAAGGCAUCUUAGAAUUAUGAAAGCUAUAAGCACUGUGAGAGAGCUUUGCGUCCCAUUAGCUAGUUGGAGAGGUAACAGCUCACCAAGGCGAUGAUGGGUAGCCGGCCUGAGAGGGUGAACGGCCACAAGGGGACUGAGACACGGCCCUUACUCCUACGGGAGGCAGCAGUGGGGAAUAUUGGACAAUGGACCGAGAGUCUGAUCCAGCAAUUCUGUGUGCACGAUGAAGUUUUUCGGAAUGUAAAGUGCUUUCAGUUGGGAAGAAAGAAAUGACGGUACCAACAGAAGAAGUGACGGCUAAAUACGUGCCAGCAGCCGCGGUAAUACGUAUGUCACGAGCGUUAUCCGGAUUUAUUGGGCGUAAAGCGCGUCUAGGUGGUUAUGUAAGUCUGAUGUGAAAAUGCAGGGCUCAACUCUGUAUUGCGUUGGAAACUGUAUAACUAGAGUACUGGAGAGGUAAGCGGAACUACAAGUGUAGAGGUGAAAUUCGUAGAUAUUUGUAGGAAUGCCGAUGGGGAAGCCAGCUUACUGGACAGAUACUGACGCUAAAGCGCGAAAGCGU
rnacentral:rRNA from 1 species